UGAUCCUCUGGUUCUGCUUUUACCUGCCUACUGUCAUGUGAAUUGGCUAACUGUGGCUCAUAUUCUUUUCCCCAGGUAGCUCAUGGUGUGUGUCACCGGUGCAGCGGUGCUCUGCUCUUGCGCACGGUGACCGGCGUGACGGCGGCUAUGUAUGGCAGCGACCACAAGCUCAUCGGGAAGUUGAAGAUUUCGCUAGGAGGCUCAAUUCUGUUUGGCCUGAAAGAAUGCAUUUGGGUCAAGAAAGAAGAAUUGAGUCGCAACUGAUUGGUGGUAAUGGUUCUCUGCAGAGAUUUUCUGAUGGUAUGAUGUGGUGGUUAUCUUUUUUCGUUGCUGGAACCUGGAUGUCAUAUGUUAUGUGAUUUGAGCCAAAUGGCAUAUUGUAAUCUUUUUAUUGCUGGUUUUUAUGUACGAUGUCAUGAAGAUGUACGUUUGAAAUGUUGCUUUGAUAGCAAAAUUGUAUUCCUGUGUACAUGCUGCUUUGACAGCAAAAUUAUGAAAAAUUCUCAACAAUAUAUAUGGGCAAAAUUG